ensembl:snoRNA small nucleolar RNA, C/D box 125
GGUAGGAACAGCCUCACAUGAUGAUCCUUCUCUCCCUGAGUGCCCAUGGUGAUGAGUAAACCUGAGCCUCUAAGAAGUUGACUGAAGAGGCUGAUCCUCA